GACGAACGCUGGCGGCGUGCUUAACACAUGCAAGUCGAACGGAAAGGCCCUGCUUUUGUUGGGUGCUCGAGUGGCGAACGGGUGAGUAACACGUGAGUAACCUGCCCUUGACUUUGGGAUAACUUCAGGAAACUGGGGCUACUACCGGAUAGGAGCUCCUGCUGCAUGGUGGGGGUUGGAAAGUUUCGGCGGUUGGGGAUGGACUCGCGGCUUAUCAGCUUGUUGGUGGGGUAGUGGCUUACCAAGGCUUUGACGGGUAGCCGGCCUGAGAGGGUGACCGGCCACAUUGGGACUGAGAUACGGCCCAGACUCCUACGGGAGGCAGCAGUGGGGAAUAUUGCACAAUGGGCGGAAGCCUGAUGCAGCAACGCCGCGUGCGGGAUGACGGCCUUCGGGUUGUAAACCGCUUUCGCCUGUGACGAAGCGUGAGUGACGGUAAUGGGUAAAGAAGCACCGGCUAACUACGUG
rnacentral:rRNA from 1 species